CGAGUGAGCGGCAACAGCUCAAAUUUGAAAUCUGGCUUUCGGGCCCGAGUUGUAAUUUGUAGAGGAUACUUUUGAUGCGGUGCCUUCCGAGUUCCCUGGAACGGGACGCCAUAGAGGGUGAGAGCCCCGUCUGGUUGGAUGCCAAAUCUCUGUAAAGUUCCUUCGACGAGUCGAGUAGUUUGGGAAUGCUGCUCUAAAUGGGAGGUAUAUGUCUUCUAAAGCUAAAUAUUGGCCAGAGACCGAUAGCGCACAAGUAGAGUGAUCGAAAGAUGAAAAGCACUUUGAAAAGAGAGUUAAAAAGUACGUGAAAUUGUUGAAAGGGAAGCGUUUAUGACCAGACUUGGACUUGGUUAAUCAUCUGGGGUUCUCCCCAGUGCACUUUUCCAGUUCAGGCCAGCAUCAGUUUUCGCCGGGGGAUAAAGGCUUCGGGAAUGUAGCUCUCUUCGGGGAGUGUUAUAGCCCGUUGUGUAAUACCCUGGCGGAGACUGAGGUUCGCGCUUCUGCAAGGAUGCUGGCGUAAUGGUCAUCAACGACCCGUCUU
rnacentral:rRNA from 1 species